rnacentral:rRNA from 1 species
UGGGGAAUAUUGGACAAUGGGCGAAAGCCUGAUCCAGCCAUGCCGCGUGUGUGAAGAAGGUCUUCGGAUUGUAAAGCACUUUAAGUUGGGAGGAAGGGCAUUAACCUAAUACGUUAGUGUUUUGACGUUACCGACAGAAUAAGCACCGGCUAACUCUGUGCCAGCAGCCGCGGUAAUACAGAGGGUGCAAGCGUUAAUCGGAAUUACUGGGCGAAAAGCGCGCGUAGGUGGUUUGUUAAGUUGGAUGUGAAAUCCCCGGGCUCAACCUGGGAACUGCAUUCAAAACUGACUGACUAGAGUAUGGUAGAGGGUGGUGGAAUUUCAUGUGUAGCGGUGAAAUGCGUAGAUAUAGGAAGGAACACCAGUGGCGAAGGCGACCACCUGGACUAAUACUGACACUGAGGUGCGAAAGCGUGGGGAGCAAACA